UUCCACAGCACAUAACCAUGCUUGGCUCAAAAUAAACAAUCUAAAAGCAUCCACUUUAGGUAAUGUGAGUAAUUCAUUUGCUCAUCAACUCCACCAGGAUUCUUUCCCUUUGGUACCAGUUCUUUGCACAGUUGCCUGAGUCGCCAUGGAAAAUACCAGCUGCAGAUGCAGCCAGACGAGUGCCUGUGUGAACAUCCAGCCACCAAGUGCUCAGUGGGAAGGAAACUGUAGCUGCCAAAGGAGAAGAAGACAUCGAGGAGGGCCCUCAGUGAAGAGCUGACCUUUCCCUGGAAGCAGCUGUUCCCCUCCCAGUGGAGCCCAGAGGCUGUCAGCAGAGGCUGGGCCCUGUCACAUUAGAGAGCACGUAUGGAGGGAGAAGUGCCAACUUCUGCUGUUCAGAGACACCCCACUGACCACAUGUAACUCUGGGUGCUGGAUUUCCUUGGAUGUUCCUGAGUCCUGAAUCUUAUUCUUUG
rnacentral:lncRNA from 1 species